rnacentral:rRNA from 1 species
UACGUAGGGGGCGAGCGUUGUCCGGAUUCAUUGGGCGUAAAGAGCUCGUAGGCGGUUUAGCAAGUCGGGUGUGAAAUCUCCAGGCUCAACCUGGAGCGGCCAUUCGAUACUGCUAUGACUCGAGUCCAGUAGGGGAGUGUGGAAUUCCCGGUGUAGCGGUGAAAUGCGCAGAUAUCGGGAGGAACACCGGCGGCGAAGGCGGCACUCUGGGCUGGUACUGACGCUGAGGAGCGAAAGCGUGGGGAGCAAACAGGAUUAGAAA